rnacentral:rRNA from 1 species
UGGGGAAUAUUGCACAAUGGGCGCAAGCCUGAUGCAGCCAUGCCGCGUGUAUGAAGAAGGCCUUCGGGUUGUAAAGUACUUUCAGCGGGGAGGAAGGCGAUAAGGUUAAUAACCUUGUCGAUUGACGUUACCCGCAGAAGAAGCACCGGCUAACUCCGUGCCAGCAGCCGCGGUAAUACGGAGGGUGCAAGCGUUAAUCGGAAUUACUGGGCGUAAAGCGCACGCAGGCGGUCUGUCAAGUCGGAUGUGAAAUCCCCGGGCUCAACCUGGGAACUGCAUUCGAAACUGGCAGGCUAGAGUCUUGUAGAGGGGGGUAGAAUUCCAGGUGUAGCGGUGAAAUGCGUAGAGAUCUGGAGGAAUACCGGUGGCGAAGGCGG